rnacentral:rRNA from 1 species
GAUGAACGCUGGCGGCGUGCCUAAUACAUGCAAGUCGAACGAAACUUCUUUAUCACCGAGUGCUUGCACUCACCGAUAAAGAGUUGAGUGGCGAACGGGUGAGUAACACGUGGGCAACCUGCCCAAAAGAGGGGGAUAACACUUGGAAACAGGUGCUAAUACCGCAUAACCAUAGUUACCGCAUGGUAACUAUGUAAAAGGUGGCUAUACUACCGCUUUUGGAUGGGCCCGCGGCGCAUUAGCUAGUUGGUAGGGUAAAGGCUUACCAAGGCAAUGAUGCGUAGCCGAAUUGAGAGGUUGAUCGGCCACAUUGGGACUGAGACACGGCCCAAACUCCUACGGGAGGCAGCAGUAGGGAAUCUUCCACAAUGGGCGAAAGCCUGAUGGAGCAACGCCGCGUGGGUGAAGAAGGUCUUCGGAUCGUAAACCCUGUUGUUAGAGAAGAAAGUGCGUGAGAGUAACUGUUCACGUUUCGACGGUAUCUAACCAGAAAGCCACGGCUAACUACGUG